AUACAGAGGGUGCAAGCGUUAAUCGGAUUUACUGGGCGUAAAGCGCGCGUAGGUGGCUAAUUAAGUCAAACGUGAAAUCCCCGAGCUUAACUUGGGAAUUGCAUUCGAUACUGGUUAGCUAGAGUAUGGGAGAGGAUGGUAGAAUUCAAGGUGUAGCGGUGAAAUGCGUAGAGAUCUGGAGGAAUACCGAUGGCGAAGGCAGCCAUCUGGCCUAAUACUGACACUGAGGUGCGAAAGCAUGGGGAGCAAACAGGAUUAGAUACCCUGGUAGUCCAUGCCGUAAACGAUGUCUACUAGCCGUUGGGGCCCUUGAGGCUUUAGUGGCGCAGCUAACGCGAUAAGUAGACCGCCUGGGGAGUACGGUCGCAAGACUAAAACUCAAAUGAAUUGACGGGG
rnacentral:rRNA from 1 species